rnacentral:rRNA from 1 species
GCGGCAACAGCUCAAAUUUGAAAUCUGGCCCCCAGGGCCCGAGUUGUAAUUUGCAGAGGAUGCUUUUGGCGCGGUGCCUUCCGAGUUCCCUGGAACGGGACGCCAUAGAGGGUGAGAGCCCCGUCUGGUCGGACGCCUAGCCUGUGUAAAGCUCCUUCGACGAGUCGAGUAGUUUGGGAAUGCUGCUCUAAAUGGGAGGUAUAUGUCUUCUAAAGCUAAAUACCGGCCAGAGACCGAUAGCGCACAAGUAGAGUGAUCGAAAGAUGAAAAGCACUUUGAAAAGAGGGUUAAAUAGUACGUGAAAUUGUUGAAAGGGAAGCGCUUGUGACCAGACUUGGGCCCGGUGGAUCAUCCAGCGUUCUCGCUGGUGCACUCCGCCGGGUUCAGGCCAGCAUCAGUUCGCCGCGGGGGAAAAAGGCUUCGGGAACGUGGCUCCUACGGGAGUGUUAUAGCCCGUUGCAUAAUACCCUGGGGCGGACUGAGGUUCGCGCUCCGCAAGG